rnacentral:lncRNA from 1 species
CCCUCUGCCACCCCCGCUUUACCUCUCCGCAGCUAAACCCUCUUUUUCCCCUUUUCCCUUUGCUCCUCCCCCUCUCCCUUCCCUUCCCCACAGCACUGUACUCGUCCACUCAACUGUAUAUAUUUCCAUUGCCCUAUUUAUUUUGUUAAUGAAUUGUACAUCGCCUUGAUUCUAUUUAGUUGCCAUUGUUUUUACAAGAUGUUCUUCCCCUUGACUCUAUUUAUUGCCAUCGUUCUUGUCUGUCCAUCUCCCCCGAUUAGACUGUAAGCCCGUCAAACGGCAGGGACUGUCUCUAUCUGUUGCCAACUUGUUCAUCCCAAGUGCUUAGUACAGUGCUCUGCACAUAGUAAGCGCUCAAUAAAUACUAUUGAAUUAACAUCCAAGUAUAGAUGUCCUAAAGGCAGGUGGAAUUGAGAGACUGCAAAGGAAACAGAUCAGGGGUGGAGAGGUGGAUUGGAAAUCAUUCACAUAGAUUUGGUAGUUGAACCCGUGGGAGCAAAUGAGUUCUCCCUCAGAGUGGGUGUAGAUGGAGAAGAGAAGGGGACCCAGAACUGAGCCUUAAGGGACCUCCGCAGUUGGAGGGUGGGAGGCAGAGAAGGAGCCUGCGAUAGAGACCAAGGAGGAGUGUCCAGAGAGUUAGGAGAACCAUGUUGUCUUGUUAUGCUAUUUUUUGUUACUCUAACCCUGCUAUGUGUUUUAUGAGCAUAUUCCUUUGGUUUUUUUUUGACUCUUUAAAACUGAUCCCUGAGGGACACUAUGUCCUGUUACACAGGUGUCUAGGUUUAAUAUUAUCAAUGCAAACCACAAGUUCACAUGAUCCAAUUUGUCCACGGUUGCCUAGGAAUUGUUCACUUCUUGUGGCAAACAUUAUUUAGGGAAUAGUGAAACCUUCAGGAUUGAGAAUUUAUACUUUACCUUCUUUUAAUUGCAUAAUUUCACAAAAUAAAACAGUUACUAAAAGUGAUCCCACCAGAGCAAAAUUUCUCAUGCCAUUUCUUAAAUAUAACAUUUUGCCUACUAAUUUGAAUUUGAAAAUCUGUGAAGUAAUUUCCCUCGUUAUGCC